UACGGGGGGGGCAAGCGUUGUUCGGAAUUACUGGGCGUAAAGGGCUCGUAGGUGGCCAACUAAGUCAUACGUGAAAUCCCCAGGCUCAACCUGGGAACUGCGUCUGAUACUGGAUGGCUUGAAUUCGGGAGAGGGAUGCAGAAUUCCAGGUGUAGCGGUGAAAUGCGUAGAUAUCUGGAGGAAUACCGGUGGCGAAGGCGGCAUCCUGGACCGGCAUUGACGCUGAGGAGCGAAAGCUAGGGGAGCAAACGGG
rnacentral:rRNA from 1 species